rnacentral:lncRNA from 1 species
GGGAAAGGCAGUUGGUGGGGUGGGGGUGGGGAGGGGGAGCAGGCACAGCAGCCCUUGGGUGGUCACCAGCUCCCUUUCCCAGAAGGUCGCAUUUGCUUGGGAGACUCUGCUCUUGAGGAUGAAUCCUAAAAGGCUGGCAAAGAAGAGAGAAGCUAGUCAUCCUUUAGGGUGACUUCUGGGAAUUCACUAGGAUUCCCUGCCUUUGCUAUCUGGACACAGACAAGAUGCUGGGUUUCUGAAGGUUGCAAACGCUGGCACCUGGAGAAAAGAAGGAAAGUAAAUGACUGAGGCAGAGCAUGGAGGGUGGGCCUUCGGGCAAAGAAAGCCUGGCUGGAGAGCGAGUGACGAGUGCUCAUCGACUGCGAGUUCUUCAGAAGCCAGAGAGGUAUUACCCCCCAAUAAAUCUCCUGCACUUUGAAUUCUGUCUUGGUAUCUGCCUCCCAGAGGACCCAAACUGAGAAGGAUCCUGGAUGAAUGCUCAGUGUCUGGACUCUGUCCUGUUGGCAGUGAGGAACCACUGAGGUCUUUUAAACAGGGGAAGCCAUGAUCAGAUCUGAAUUUUGUGAAAGUAAUCCAGCAGCAAAGGAAGGAAUGAACCAGUGGGGAGAAAAGGAGUGGUGAAAGGACCAUUUAAAAGGACACUGCAUUUAUUGGUACAAGGUUUUGACAAGAGGCAACUGGCAGCAUGUAUAAUUUACUAUGUACGUACUCUUUAGCUCAAUGAUCCCAAUUUUAGAAAUCCUAUAGAAACACUGGCACAAAUGCAUAAAAGUAUUAGGAUGAGGAUGUUAACAGUAGCCUCAUAUAUAUUAGCAUGGCACUGGCACAUUCACCUGUAGGAAGAAAGACAAAAAAAUGGUACAGCCGUGCAGUGGAAUCACAUCACACAGCCUCUAAAAAGAAUCCAGUAGGUCUCUUUGUACUGUCUUAGAAAGAGGUACACAACAUAUCACUAUUUGUAAAAAACCAGUUGUUGAAAAAGUAUACAGCAUGAUCCAAUUUUCAGCAACAAAAUUGUGCAUAUGUAUAUCUUUUACAUUUUUUGUAUAAAUAAGUCUGGAAGGAGAUACAUCAACUGUUGACAGAGGUUACUUCUUGGGGUGGUAGGGCUUUCAUUUUUUACUUUAUGUGUUUUUACAGUAGUAAUGGAGAGAUUCUGGCUUGUUUUUUGGUAUUUUUCUGUAUUUU